AAUGAACGUUGGCGGCGUGGAUUAGGCAUGCAAGUCGUGCGAUAACCCCGCAAGGGGGGAAAGCGGCGAAAGGGAGAGUAACGCGUGGGUACCUGCCCCUUGGUCCGGAAUAGCUGCGGGAAACUGCAGGUAAUGCCGGAUAAUAUCCUCGGAUCAAAGGUGUGAUUCCGCCGAGGGAGGGGCCCGCGUUCUAUUAGCUAGUUGGUAGGGUAAUGGCCUACCAAGGCGACGAUGGAUACCGGGUGUGAGAGCAUGACCCGGCGCACUGGGACUGGGACACUGCCCAGACACCUACGGGUGGCUGCAGUCGAGAAUCUUCGGCAAUGGGCGCAAGCCUGACCGAGCGACGCCGCGUGCGGGAUGAAGGCCUUCGGGUUGUAAACCGCUGUCGUAGAGGAGGAAAUGCCAUGGGGUUCUCUCCAUGGUUUGACCUAUUCUAGGAGGAAGGACGGGCUAAGUUCGUGCCAGCAGCCGCAGUAA
rnacentral:rRNA from 1 species